rnacentral:lncRNA from 1 species
AGAACUGCUCCUCUGGAGGCUAGAUGGAAGCCCACGUAGGAGACAUAACGACAUUUGUAGAAGGUAAAUCUUGCAUAAAGGCACCACUGAGAAGACUUCUACUCUGGAGCGCUUUGUCCUUUCAGUGUCACUUCCCACGAAGAGAGAGGGUAUAGCAGUGGAGAACAACAGAGAGCAGGUGGUAAUACUGGUAAUGGACUCACCCUAUGCUUUUAAGCACACGUGGCUCUCUGAGGAGGAGUUCCUCUGAGGGAGCAAGUGAUAAAGUUGAAUUAAGUACUUUGCUAUUAUCUGGAAGAAAAACCCAUGUAUAGGAAAGAUGUGCAGAAGAAGAUGUGCAAUCGGAAAAACAGUUUCACUGUGGGGGAGCAAGAAAGGGGAGCAGGAAUUAAUUUCCCUGGAAGAUGUCAUAAAUUGAAGGAUGUUACCAGUCUCUCUAGUGGAAUUCUAAAGAAUACGUGCCUGAAAAUGACACCCAGUAAGUCCUAUAAUCUAAAGACUUUCAUGAAGCUUCCUUUUCCAGUAUUAGAGUUUACUGUGUUAGUUCAUCUUGAUGCCCUGUUUUGCUCUUUGUCUUUAACUCAUACAAAAUAAUAUAGGUUUGGAGUAGCAAGGAUAGUUAAUGUUGUUAAUGUCUCCCUUGCACUGUAGUGAUGGGGCAAUCACUACAGCAUGACUUAUAUCUAAGCACUUUAUGAAACUGAGCUUUAGAAUUGAUUUUUAUAAUCAAGUAAGAAAGAAAAAUAACCAUCAGCAAAUCUGUUGCUUAUAUUUAAGUGGUGUUACCAAGGGAAUGCAGUGCUACAGAUCUGGGUGCAGCGAUCUUGACUCCUUGUUUCAUAGCAUACUUGCUGUUGGCCAGUGCUGGCCUGAAUUUGGGUCACACAGGCAACAAUUAGGAAUCAUUUUCAGCUGAUGAUUACUUUCUUAGAGAUCAUAAAUAACUGCUGCUUUUUAUCUAGUUUAUGGAGUGGGAUAUUCUCUUAAACAGUGGCCCUAAUAACACUGUCUCUUAUUAACAGAAUAAAAGUGAAUAUUAUGAAGAGUAAGCUUCUAUC